rnacentral:tRNA from 1 species
GUCCCUGUGGCGCAAUGGGUAGCACGUUGGACUUCUGAUCCAAAGGUCAUGGGUUCGAAUCCUACGUGGGAUG